rnacentral:rRNA from 1 species
UACGAGAGGCCCAAACGUUAUUCGGAUUUACUGGGCUUAAAGCGUGUGUAGGCGGAUCGUUAAGUACCUUGUGAAAUCCCACGGCUCAACCGUGGAACUGCUGGGUAUACUGGCGGUCUUGAGCCACCUAGGGGCAACUGGAACAAGCGGUGGAGCGGUGAAAUGCGUAGAUAUCAGGAGGAACACCUGCGGUGUAGACGGCUUACUGGACCGUAACUGACGCUGAGGCACGAAAGCGUGGGUAGCAAACAGG